UACGAAGGGGGCUAGCGUUGCUCGGAAUCACUGGGCGUAAGCGCACGUAGGCGGAUUGCUAAGUCAGGGGUGAAAUCCUGGAGCUCAACUCCAGAACUGCCUUUGAUACUGGCGGUCUCGAGUCCGGGAGAGGUGAGUGGAACUGCGAGUGUAGAGGUGAAAUUCGUAGAUAUUCGCAAGAACACCAGUGGCGAAGGCGGCUCACUGGCCCGGUACUGACGCUGAGGUGCGAAAGCGUGGGGAGCAAACAGG
rnacentral:rRNA from 1 species